UCAGGGAAUUAAGGUGAAAGGUGAAGGCAAAGAACCUUUACACUGAAACCACCAACGUCGUGACCACCUACGCUGGAAUCCUGCAAGACCAGAUUUACCACAGCCUGUACCAGAAGUAAACAGAAACUGAUUUCUCAUGUAGCCUUUCUGACAGCAUGAGGACUUUCCACAAGAAAGGUCAAAACGUCAUCUGACAUUUUAAGCCUUUUACAAAAAUGGACUUCCUGCUCUCUGUGGCGCUUACUCGGGCCACUGUACUGCUGCUAUAUGAUGAUAACCACCAAAAGAGGAAUGUAAUCCUUGGAGAGCACAACAGCUUGCAUAGAAGAACAAGAACAGAACCAGUUGGAGCAUCUGGAGUCAACUUAUCAUGUACCAACAGCAUUUUCCCUGGGUGGAAAACAAACACGUAUAAUUAAACAAUAUCGCCACC